rnacentral:rRNA from 1 species
UACGUAGGGGGCAAGCGUUGUCCGGAAUUACUGGGCGUAAAGCGCACGUAGGCGGACAUUUAAGUCAGGGGUGAAAUCCCAGAGCUCAACUCUGGAACUGCCUUUGAUACUGGGUGUCUUGAGUAUGGAAGAGGUGAGUGGAAUUCCGAGUGUAGAGGUGAAAUUCGUAGAUAUUCGGAGGAACACCAGUGGCGAAGGCGGCUCACUGGUCCAUUACUGACGCUGAGGUGCGAAAGCGUGGGGAGCAAACAGG